rnacentral:rRNA from 1 species
AGAGUUUGAUUAUGGCUCAGGAUGAACGCUGGCGGCGUGCUUAACACAUGCAAGUCGAACGGAGUUUUAACGGAAGUUUCGGAUGGAAGUUUAAAACUUAGUGGCGGACGGGUGAGUAACGCGUGGGUAACCUGCCUCAUACAGGGGGAUAACAGUUAGAAAUGACUGCUAACACCGCAUAAUAUAGCGAAACCGCAUGAUUUUGCUAUCAAAUAUUUAUAGGUAUGAGAUGGGCCCGCGUCUGGUUAGCUAGUUGGUGGGGUAAAAGCCUACCAAGGCGACGAUCAGUAGCCGGCUUGAGAGAGUGACCGGCCACAUUGGGACUGAGACACGGCCCAAACUCCUACGGGAGGCAGCAGUGGGGAAUAUUGGACAAUGGGGGAAACCCUGAUCCAGCGACGCCCGCGUGAGUGAAGAAGUAUUUCGGUAUGUAAAGCUCUAUCAGCAGGGAAGAUAAUGACAGUACCUGACUAAGAAGCCCCGGCUAACUACGUGCCAGCAGCAGC